rnacentral:rRNA from 1 species
GACGAACCGUGCUAACGUUGUUCGGAAUCACUGGGCUUGAAGGGCGCGUAGGCCGCCGGCAGGGUCCGGGGUGAAAGCCCCCAGCUCAACUGGGGAAGGGCCUCGGAAACCGGCCGGCUGGAGGGAGAUAGGGGCGUGCGGAACUUCCGGUGGAGCGGUGAAAUGCGUAGAGAUCGGAAGGAACGCCGGUGGCGAAAGCGGCACGCUGGAUCGUCUUCUGACGCUGAGGCGCGAAAGCCAGGGGA